rnacentral:rRNA from 1 species
UACCAGCACCCCGAGUGGUCGGGACGAUUAUUGGGCCUAAAGCAUCCGUAGCCGGUUCUACAAGUCUUCCGUUAAAUCCACCUGCUUAACAGAUGGGCUGCGGAGGAUACUAUAGAGCUAGGAGGCGGGAGAGGCAGGCGGUACUUAGUGGGUAGGAGUAAAAUCCGUUGAUCCAUUGAAGACCACCAGUGGCGAGGGCGGCUUGCCAGAACGCACUCGACGGUGAGGGAUGAAAGCUGGGGGAGCAAACCGG